rnacentral:rRNA from 1 species
ACAAGCGGAGGAACAUGUGGUUUAAUUCGAUGAUACGCGAGGAACCUUACCUGGGCUUAAAUGUAGAGUGCAUUUUUUAGAGAUAGAAAUUCCCUUCGGGGCUUUCUGCAAGGUGCUGCAUGGUUGUCGUCAGCUCGUGCCGUGAGGUGUCGGGUUAAGUCCCAUAACGAGCGCAACCCUUAUCGUUAGUUGCCAUCUGGUAAUGCAGGGGACUCUAGCGAAACUGCCACCGUAAGGUGAGAGGAAGUGGGAUGACGUCAAAUCAGCACGGCCCUUAUGUCCAGGGCUACACACGUGUUACAAUGGUCGGUACAAAGAGCAGCGAGCUCGCGAGAGUAAGCAAAUCUCAAAAAGCCGUCCUCAGUUCGGAUUGGAGUCUGCAACUCGACUCCAUGAAGUUGGAAUCGCUAGUAAUCGCGGAUCAGCAUGCCGCGGUGAAUACGUUCCCGGGCCUU